UACAGAGGUGGCAAGCGUUGUUCGGAAUUACUGGGCGUAAAGGGCGCGUAGGCGGUCUGCUAAGUUGGAUGUGAAAACUCUGGGCUUAACCCAGAGCCUGCAUUCAAUACUGACAGGCUAGAGUUCUGGAGGGGAUAGCGGAAUUCCUGGUGUAGCGGUGAAAUGCGUAGAUAUCAGGAGGAACACCGGUGGCGAAGGCGGCUAUCUGGACAGAGUCUGACGCUGAGGCGCGAAAGCUAGGGGAGCAAACAGG
rnacentral:rRNA from 1 species